UACGGGGGGGGUAAGCGUUGUUCGGAAUUACUGGGCGUAAAGGGUUCGUAGGUGGCCAACUAAGUCAGACGUGAAAUCCCUCAGCUUAACUGGGGAACUGCGUCUGAUACUGGAUGGCUUGAGUGCAGGAGAGGAAUGCGGAAUUCCAGGUGUAGCGGUGAAAUGCGUAGAUAUCUGGAGGAACACCGGUGGCGAAGGCGGCAUUCUGGACUGUAACUGACACUGAUGAACGAAAGCCAGGGGAGCAAACGGG
rnacentral:rRNA from 1 species